rnacentral:rRNA from 1 species
AGAGAUGUGUGAUGACGCAUAUCAAUAAGCGGAGGAAAAGAAACUAACAAGGAUUCCCUUAGUAACGGCGAGUGAAGCGGGAAGAGCUCAAAUUUGAAAUCUUCAAGGUUCUACCUUGACGAAUUGUAGUUUAUAGAAGUGUUUUCUGUUAGUAGAGUGGCAAAAGUUCUUUGGAAUAGGACAUCAUAGAGGGUGAGAAUCCCGUAUUUGGUCAUUCCUUCUAGCGUUGUGAUACACUUUCAACGAGUCGGAUUGUUUGGGAAUGCAGUCCAAAAUGGGUGGUAAAUUUCAUCUAAAGCUAAAUAUUGGCGAGAGACCGAUAGCGAACAAGUACCGUGAGGGAAAGAUGAAAAGAACUUUGAAAAGAGAGUUAAACAGUACGUGAAAUUGUCAAAAGGGAAGCGUUUGACACCAGUGUUGUUUUUCCGAAAAUCAAUUACGAAUGUUUUAUUUUUGAGAAGUUAUGACUUCAUCGGCUUGCUUCUUUCUUUACGAAACUUUCUUAAUGCACUUUUCGGUUAACAAGUCAACAUCAAUUUCUUUUGUUGUAAAAGGGUAUGAGGAAGGUGGCUUUCUUUUCGGAGAAAGUGUUUAUAGCCUUGUACCUCUGCAAUCGGAGAGAUUGAGGUCUGCAGCGUAGAUCCUUCGGGGUUAGAUACAUUUGUGCUAAGUUAUAGCUUUUCAUAGACAACUUGUUGACUAUGUUUAGUCUUGUAGCUUACUCGCUUAUGCUAUUUUACCUACGCUUAGGAUGUUGACGAUCAGCUGAGCGCG